rnacentral:rRNA from 1 species
GACGAACGCUGGCGGCGUGCUUAACACAUGCAAGUCGAACGGAAAGGCCCUGCUUUUGUGGGGUGCUCGAGUGGCGAACGGGUGAGUAACACGUGAGUAACCUGCCCUUGACUUUGGGAUAACUUCAGGAAACUGGGGCUAAUACCGGAUAGGAGCUCCUGCUGCAUGGUGGGGGUUGGAAAGUUUCGGCGGUUGGGGAUGGACUCGCGGCUUAUCAGCUUGUUGGUGGGGUAGUGGCUUACCAAGGAUUUGACGGGUAGCCGGCAUGAGAGGGUGACCGGCCACAUUGGGACUGAAAUACGGCCCAGACUCCUACGGGAGGCAGCAGUGGGGAAUAUUGCACAAUGGGCGGAAGCCUGAUGCAGCAACGCCGCGUGCGGGAUGACGGCCUUCGGGUUGUAAACCGCUUUCGCCUGUGACGAAGCGUGAGUGACGGUAAUGGGUAAAGAAGCACCGGCUAACUACGUG